rnacentral:rRNA from 1 species
ACUAUCGUUAACUGAAUACAUAGGUUAACGAGGCGAACCGGGGGAACUGAAACAUCUAAGUACCCCGAGGAAAAGAAAUCAACCGAGAUUCCCCCAGUAGCGGCGAGCGAACGGGGAGCAGCCCAGAGUCUGAAUCAGCUUGUGUGUUAGUGGAACGGUCUGGAAAGUCCGACGGUACAGGGUGAUAGUCCCGUACACCAAAAUGCACAGGCUGUGAACUCGAAGAGUAGGGCGGGACACGUGGUAUCCUGUCUGAAUAUGGGGGGACCAUCCUCCAAGGCUAAAUACUCCUGACUGACCGAUAGUGAACCAGUACCGUGAGGGAAAGGCGAAAAGAACCCCGGCGAGGGGAGUGAAAAAGAACCUGAAACCGUGUACGUACAAGCAGUGGGAGCACCUUCGGGUGUGACUGCGUACCUUUUGUAUAAUGGGUCAGCGACUUAUAUUCUGUAGCAAGGUUAACCGUAUAGGGGAGCCGCAGGGAAACCGAGUCUUAACUGGGCGUUAAGUUGCAGGGUAUAGACCCGAAACCCGGUGAUCUAGCCAUGGGCAGGUUGAAGGUUGGGUAACACUAACUGGAGGACCGAACCGACUAAUGUUGAAAAAUUAGCGGAUGACUUGUGGCUGGGGGUGAAAGGCCAAUCAAACCGGGAGAUAGCUGGUUCUCCCCGAAAGCUAUUUAGGUAGCGCCUCGUGAACUCAUCUUCGGGGGUAGAGCACUGUUUCGGCUAGGGGGUCAUCCCGACUUACCAACCCGAUGCAAACUACGAAUACCGAAGAAUGUUAUCACGGGAGACACACGGCGGGUGCUAACGUCCGUCGUGAAGAGGGAAACAACCCAGACCGCCAGCUAAGGUCCCAAAGUCAUGGUUAAGUGGGAAACGAUGUGGGAAGGCACAGACAGCCAGGAUGUUGGCUUAGAAGCAGCCAUCAUUUAAAGAAAGCGUAAUAGCUCACUGGUCGAGUCGGCCUGCGCGGAAGAUGUAACGGGGCUAAACCAUGCACCGAAGCUGCGGCAGCGACACUAUGUGUUGUUGGGUAGGGGAGCGUUCUGUAAGCCUGCGAAGGUGUGCUGUGAGGCAUGCUGGAGGUAUCAGAAGUGCGAAUGCUGACAUAAGUAACGAUAAAGCGGGUGAAAAGCCCGCUCGCCGGAAGACCAAGGGUUCCUGUCCAACGUUAAUCGGGGCAGGGUGAGUCGACCCCUAAGGCGAGGCCGAAAGGCGUAGUCGAUGGGAAACAGGUUAAUAUUCCUGUACUUGGUGUUACUGCGAAGGGGGGACGGAGAAGGCUAUGUUAGCCGGGCGACGGUUGUCCCGGUUUAAGCAUGUAGGCUGGUUGUCCAGGCAAAUCCGGAUAAUCAAGGCUGAGGUGUGAUGACGAGGCACUACGGUGCUGAAGUAACAAAUGCCCUGCUUCCAGGAAAAGCCUCUAAGCAUCAGGUAACAUCAAAUCGUACCCCAAACCGACACAGGUGGUCAGGUAGAGAAUACCAAGGCGCUUGAGAGAACUCGGGUGAAGGAACUAGGCAAAAUGGUGCCGUAACUUCGGGAGAAGGCACGCUGGUGUGUAGGUGAAGUCCCUGCGGAUGGAGCUGAGACCAGUCGAAGAUACCAGCUGGCUGCAACUGUUUAUUAAAAACACAGCACUGUGCAAACACGAAAGUGGACGUAUACGGUGUGACGCCUGCCCGGUGCCGGAAGGUUAAUUGAUGGGGUUAUCCGUAAGGAGAAGCUCUUGAUCGAAGCCCCGGUAAACGGCGGCCGUAACUAUAACGGUCCUAAGGUAGCGAAAUUCCUUGUCGGGUAAGUUCCGACCUGCACGAAUGGCGUAAUGAUGGCCAGGCUGUCUCCACCCGAGACUCAGUGAAAUUGAACUCGCUGUGAAGAUGCAGUGUACCCGCGGCAAGACGGAAAGACCCCGUGAACCUUUACUAUAGCUUGACACUGAACAUUGAGCCUUGAUGUGUAGGAUAGGUGGGAGGCUUUGAAGCGUGGACGCCAGUCUGCGUGGAGCCAACCUUGAAAUACCACCCUUUAAUGUUUGAUGUUCUAACGUUGGCCCCUUACCGGGGUUGCGGACAGUGUCUGGUGGGUAGUUUGACUGGGGCGGUCUCCUCCCAAAGCGUAACGGAGGAGCACGAAGGUUAGCUAAUCCUGGUCGGACAUCAGGAGGUUAGUGCAAUGGCAUAAGCUAGCUUGACUGCGAGCGUGACGGCGCGAGCAGGUGCGAAAGCAGGUCAUAGUGAUCCGGUGGUUCUGAAUGGAAGGGCCAUCGCUCAACGGAUAAAAGGUACUCCGGGGAUAACAGGCUGAUACCGCCCAAGAGUUCAUAUCGACGGCGGUGUUUGGCACCUCGAUGUCGGCUCAUCACAUCCUGGGGCUGAAGUAGGUCCCAAGGGUAUGGCUGUUCGCCAUUUAAAGUGGUACGCGAGCUGGGUUUAGAACGUCGUGAGACAGUUCGGUCCCUAUCUGCCGUGGGCGCUGGAGAAUUGAGGGGGGCUGCUCCUAGUACGAGAGGACCGGAGUGGACGCAUCACUGGUGUUCGGGUUGUCAUGCCAAUGGCACUGCCCGGUAGCUAAAUGCGGAAGAGAUAAGUGCUGAAAGCAUCUAAGCACGAAACUUGCCCCGAGAUGAGUUCU